CUUUAAUCGCACAAGCAUGCUCAUUAGACAAGGGACUUCAACUACACACAUCUUAGUUAGUCCAAGGGACUCUAACCUCAUGCCCUUUCAUUAGUCAUGGGACUCUAACCUCAUGCAUUUUCAUUAGUCAAGGGACUCUAACCUCAAGCCAUAUUAGAUAAGGGACUCUAACCCCAAGUGAGCUCAUUUGGAGUGGUACUCU
rnacentral:lncRNA from 1 species